ACUGAUAACUUAUUACGAUGAAAAUCAUAUCCAUUGUUAAAAGCAUAAAGACUUGGCCGUCGCUAAUAAUUUGUCCUAAAAUCCUUCGAUCCCCAAUGCGCUCGAUUCUAUUCCUCGCUGCCUUCCCUUUCUUCCCCCACCUCCAGUCCCCCUUCUCCCCCACCGCGUCGCUAGAGCCCCCGACCUCCUCCCCCAGCCCCCACGCCGCCGUCUCCACCUCAGAUCUACCAUCCCUGC
rnacentral:lncRNA from 1 species